UACGGGAGGCAGCAGUGGGGAAUAUUGCACAAUGGGCGCAAGCCUGAUGCAGCCAUGCCGCGUGUAUGAAAAAGGCCUUCGGGUUGUAAAGUACUUUCAGUCGUGAGGAAGGUGUUAAGGUUAAUAACCUUAGCAAUUGACGUUAGCGACAGAAGAAGCACCGGCUAACUCCGUGCCAGCAGCCGCGGUAAUACGGAGGGUGCGAGCGUUAAUCGGAAUUACUGGGCGUAAAGGGCACGCAGGCGGUUAAUUAAGUUGGAUGUGAAAUCCCCGGGCUUAACCUGGGAAUGGCAUUCAAGACUGGUUAGCUAGAGUCUUGUAGAGGGGGUUAGAAUUCCAUGUGUAGCGGUGAAAUGCGUAGAGAUGUGGAGGAAUACCGGUGGCGAAGGCGGCCCCUGGACAAAGACUGACGCUCAUGUGCGAAAGCUGGGGAGCAAACAGGGAUUAGAUACCCGU
rnacentral:rRNA from 1 species